CCUACGGGGGGCAGCAGUGGGGAAUAUUGGACAAUGGGCGCAAGCCUGAUCCAGCAAUGCCGCGUGUGUGAAGAAGGCCUUCGGGUUGUAAAGCACUUUUGUCCGGAACGAAAAGCGACAGGUUAAUAACCUGGCGUGCUGACGGUACCGGUUGAAUAAGCACCGGCUAACUUCGUGCCAGCAGCCGCGGUAAUACGAAGGGUGCAAGCGUUAAUCGGAAUUACUGGGCGUAAAGGGUGCGUAGACGGUUUGUUAAGUCGGAUGUGAAAGCCCCG
rnacentral:rRNA from 1 species